CGAAAUGCGAUAAGUAAUGNGAAUUNCAGAAUUCAGUGAAUCAUCGAAUCUUUGAACGCACCUUGCG
rnacentral:rRNA from 2 species